AUCAACUUUCGAUUGGUAGGAUAGAGGCCUACCAUGGUGGUAACGGGUAACGGGGUGUUAGGGCACGACACCGGAGAGGGAGCCUGAGAAACGGCUACCACAUCCAAGGAUGGCAGCAGGCGCGCAAAUUACCCAAUCCCGACACGGGGAGGUAGUGACAAUAAAUAACAAUACGGGGUUCUUUCGGAUCUCGUAAUUGGAAUGAGUACAAUUUAAAUCUCUUAACGAGGAACAAUUGGAGGGCAAGUCUGGUGCCAGCAGCCGCGGUAAUUCCAGCUCCAAUAGCGUAUAUUAAAGUUGUUGCAGUUAAAAAGCUCGUAGUUGAAUUUCGGGGUCAAUAAGUUGGUCGUGCCAAUGGUAUGCACUGGCUUUAUUGAUUCCUACCUCUUGACGAACUGUGAUGCCAUUAAUUUGGUGUCGCAAGGAAUCAGGACUGUUACCUUGAAAAAAUUAGAGUGUUUAAAGCAGGCUUACGCUUGAAUACAUUAGCAUGGAAUAAUGAAAUAGGACGUUUGAACCUAUUUUGUUGGUUUCUAGGAUCGACGUAAUGAUUAAUAGGGAUAGUUGGGGGCAUUAGUAUUCAAUUGUCAGAGGUGAAAUUCUUGGAUUUAUUGAAGACUAACUACUGCGAAAGCAUUUGCCAAGGAUGUUUUCAUUAAUCAAGAACGAAAGUUAGGGGAUCGAAGACGAUCAGAUACCGUCGUAGUCUUAACCAUAAACUAUGCCGACUAGGGAUCGGAUGAUGUUAAUUUUUUAAUGACUCAUUCGGCGCCUUACGGGAAACCAAAGUGUUUGGGUUC
rnacentral:rRNA from 1 species